AAAUAUCUUGAAAGACCUUUGAAGACCGAAGUGGAGAAGGGUUCCGUGCCAACGGCGGUCGAGCACGGGUCAGUCGGUCCUAAGAAGCGGGCGAAAGCUUCCACGAAAGGCGCCGGAUCCGUCACGAAAGCGAUAGUAGUAAAUUUAUUCAAUAAAAUCGCCAUUGGCUUCAACCAUGGUCUCCAGACGACUUCGGAAUCUCCUGCAACUCUUCUGGGUGGUCUCCUUGUUUAAGUUGGUGAAUGCUGCCAUAAUCCUCGCCUUCAGUUCAUCUUUGGUGUUACGAGGAGUUUUGUUGCUGUCUCACUCGACAGUGCCUCACACAUGAUAAUGAAGGGGGUUGCAGUCUGGGUAGUCAGGUGGCCAGAUGUUAGGGGUGAUGUGGUC
rnacentral:ncRNA from 1 species